rnacentral:rRNA from 1 species
CCUACGGGAGGCAGCAGUGAGGAAUAUUGGUCAAUGGGCGCAGGCCUGAACCAGCCAAGUCGCGUGAGGGAAGAAUGCCCUAUGGGUUGUAAACCUCUUUUAUAAGGGAAGAAUGAUGAAUACGUGUAGUCAGAUGCCCGUUACUCAUGAAUAAGCAUCGGAUAACUUCGUGCCAGCAGCCGCGGUAAUUCGGAGGAUGCGAGCGUUAUCCGGAUUUAUUUGGUUUAAAGGGUGCGUAGGCGGUAUUUUAAGUUAGUGGUAAAACGUCGGGGCUUCACCUUGAUUGGCCAUUAAAACUGGAGUACUAGAGUACAGACGAGGAAGGCGGAAUAAGUGAAGUAGCGGUGAAAUGCUUAGAUAUAACUCAGAACCCCGAUAGCGAAGGCAGCUUACCAGACUGUUACUGACGCUGAAGCACGAGAGCGUGGGGAGCGAACAGGAUUAGAUACCCGAGUAGUC